rnacentral:tRNA from 1 species
UGCGGGAUUGUGUAACGGUAGCACUCAUGACUCUGGAUCAUGCUGUCUAGGUUCGAAUCCUAGUCCCGCAGCCA